ACAUGCAAGUCGAGGGGUAACGGGGAGCUUGCUCCGCCGACGACCGGCGCACGGGUGCGCACCGCGUAUGGAACCUACCUUGUACAGGGGAAUAGCCUUUGGAAACGAAGAUUAAUGCCCCGUGGUACCACGUCCCGGCAUCGGGAUGUGGUUAAAGCCUUCGGGCGGUACAAGAUGGCCAUGCGUCCCAUUAGCUUGUUGGUAAGGUAACGGCUUACCAAGGCUACGAUGGGUAGGGGCCCUGAGAGGGGGAUCCCCCACACUGGUACUGAGACACGGACCAGACUCCUACGGGAGGCAGCAGUGAGGAAUAUUGGACAAUGGAGGAGACUCUGAUCCAGCCAUGCCGCGUGCAGGAAGAAUGCCCUAUGGGUAGUAAACUGCUUUUAUACAGGAAGAAAAAGAGCUACGUGUAGCUUACUGACGGUACUGUAAGAAUAAGGACCGGCUAACUCCGUGCCAGCAGCCGCGGUAAUACGGAGGGUCCGAGCGUUAUCCGGAAUUAUUGGGUUUAAAGGGUCCGUAGGCGGGCCGAUAAGUCAGGGGUGAAAGUUUGCAGCUCAACUGUAAAAUUGCCUUUGAUACUGUUGGUCUUGAGUUAUAGUGAAGUUGCCGGAAUAUGUAGUGUAGCGGUGAAAUGCAUAGAUAUUACAUAGAACACCGAUUGCGAAGGCAGGUGACUAACUAUAUACUGACGCUGAUGGACGAAAGCGUGGGGAGCGAACAGGAUUAGAUACCCUGGUAGUCCACGCCGUAAACGAUGGAUACUAGCUGUCCGGAACCUUGAGUUCUGGGCGGCCAAGCGAAAGUGAUAAGUAUCCCACCUGGGGAGUACGUUCGCAAGAAUGAAACUCAAAGG
rnacentral:rRNA from 1 species